GGCUCGUUGGCGUAGCCGGUUACGCGUCUGUCGAAUAUGAUCAUUGUUCAUAGGGCUGGAUAUAGACAGAGGUUUCCCAGUUCGAAUCUGAGACGAGUCG